GCACGAAGUUAGCCGGGGCUUCUUCUGCGGGUACCGUCAUUAUCUUCCCCGCCGAAAGGGCUUUACAACCCUAGGGCCUUCAUCACCCACGCGGCAUGGCUGGAUCAGGCUUGCGCCCAUUGUCCAAUAUUCCCUACUGCUGCCUCCCGUAGGAGUCUGGGCUGUGUCUCAGUCCCAGUGAGGCUGAUCAUCCUCUCAGACCAGCUACUGAUCGUCGCCUUGGUGAGCCAUUACCUCACCAACAAGCUAAUCAGACGAGGGCCGAUCCUUCAGCGAUAAAUCUUUCUCCUUACGGACGUAUCCGGUAUUAGCCCAAGUUUCCCUGGGUUGUUCCGAACUGGAGGGCACGUUCCCACGUGUUACUCUCCCGUCUGCCGCUGGUGUAUUGCUACACCCGCUCGACUUGCAUGUAUUAGGCCUGCCGCCAGCGUUCGCU
rnacentral:rRNA from 1 species